rnacentral:rRNA from 1 species
UACGUAGGGUGCGAGCGUUGUCCGGAAUUAUUGGGCGUAAAGGGCUCGUAGGCGGUCUGUCGCGUCGAAAGUGAAAACUCAGGGCUUAACCCUGAGCCUGCUUCCGAUACGGGCAGACUAGAGGUAUGCAGGGGAGAACGGAAUUCCUGGUGUAGCGGUGAAAUGCGCAGAUAUCAAGUGGAACACCAGUGGCGAAGGCGAGUCCCUGGACAACUCCUGACACUGAGGCACGAAAGCUAGGGGAGCAAACAGG